CCUACGGGCGGCAGCAGUGAGGAAUAUUGGUCAAUGGGCGCAAGCCUGAACCAGCCAAGUCGCGUGAGGGAGGACGGUGCUGUGGAUCGUAGACCUCUUUUGCCGGGGAGCAAAAGACGCCACGCGUGGCGUUCCGAGGGUACCCGGAGAAAAAGCAUCGGCUAACUCCGUGCCAGCAGCCGCGGUAAUACGGAGGAUGCGAGCGUUAUCCGGAUUUAGUGGGUUUAAAGGGUGCGCAGGCGGGAGAUCAAGUCAGCGGUAAAAUUGAGAGGCUCAACCUCUUCGAGCCGUUGAAACUGGGUGCCUUGAGUGAGCGAGAAGCAUGCGGAAUGCGUGGUGUAGCGGUGAAAUGCAUAGAUAUCACGCAGAACUCCGAUUGCGAAGGCAGCAUACCGGCGCUCAACUGACGCUCAGGCACGAAAGUGUGGGGAUCGAACAGGAUUAGAUACCCUAGUAGUC
rnacentral:rRNA from 1 species